rnacentral:rRNA from 1 species
CAGUCGCCGCGGUAAUACGGAGGAUCCAAGCGUUAUCCGGAUUUAUUGGGUUUAAAGGGUGCGUAGGUGGCCUGGUAAGUCAGGGGUGAAAGACGGUAGCUUAACUAUCGCAGUGCCUUUGAUACUGCCGGGCUUGAAUGAACUAGAGGUAGGCGGAAUGUGACAAGUAGCGGUGAAAUGCAUAGAUAUGUCACAGAACACCGAUUGCGAAGGCAGCUUACUAUGGUUUUAUUGACACUGAGGCACGAAAGCGUGGGGAUCAAACAGGAUUAGAUACCCGAGUAGUCCCUGUCUCUUAUAC